GAGCAUUGGAGCAUUGGACACACACUCCAUCGUACAGGUGCUUUGGCUUGGCGCACUUGGGGCCCCCAACAACAAGGUCAAUGGUCAGCGAGCGGCGGCACAAGUGUGUUCUCCACGACAUUAGUCAUGUCAUGCACAAAUGUGGUUCGGGCGGGGGUAAGGGAAAAUGAUUCGCCAAAUGAUUGCAGCAGAAAACGAGCGUGGGAAUCGAUUUUACGCAGAACACAACAGAAUCUGCUGCCCAGUAAAUUUCUCUCAGUCUCUUCCCCCACUCUACCAAUGAAGCCAUAAACGUUAUAUCUGGUAUCUGAAAUGUAUCACCCAGCACCCCCUCUGCCAGCCUGCCGAGUUCAAUGAACAUUCAGCGGAACGAGAACAAAAAAUGGAA